rnacentral:rRNA from 1 species
GAUGAACGCUGGCGGCGUGCCUAACACAUGCAAGUCGAACGGACAGACGAUGAGCUUUUGCUUUUGCCGUUAGCGGCUGGCGGGCGAGUAACACAUGCAUAACCAACUUAUAUUUCGUGGGGAAUAACGUAAAGCAGCUUACGAUAAUACCGCAUACGAUCUACGGGUGAAUGCAGUGGAUAUUCGGACCUUGCGCGUAUGUAUUAGCCGAGGUCGGAUUAGCUAGUUGGCGGGGUAAAGGCCCACCAAGGCGACGAUCCGUAGCUGGUCUGAGAGGAUGAUCGGCCACACUGGAACUGAGACACGGUCCAGACUCCUACGGGAGGCAGCAGUAGGGAAUAUUGGGCAAUGGGCGAAAGCCUGACGCAGCCACGCCGCGUGAGUGAUGAAGGUCUUCGGGUCGUAAAGCCCUUUUGUUGGGGAAGAAAAGCUGUGGAAUAAUACCUGGCCGUUUUGACGGUACCCAAUGAAAAAGCACCGGCUAACUACGUG